rfam:Clostridium difficile 630 complete genome
GGCUCGUUGGUCAAGAGGUUAAGACACCGCCCUUUCACGGCGGUAACAGGGGUUCAAUUCCCCUACGAGUCA